GAAAUAAAAUCCACAUAAAUAAGAUAUGACAAUACUUUUUUCAUCUCAGUUCUAUUCAGAUUGUAAUAUUUACAUAAAUUGUUGUAAAUGUCUGACGUUUCGGUUUCCUCUACGGAAACCACUAUCAAAGACGGUCAUAUAAAUACUAAUGAGCAGCUGAAGACACAAAAUAAUGCAGAAAACGACUUUGAACAGUCACAAGCAAACGAGGGAGACAACAGUUGUGAUGGAACAGCUGUUGUUUGCAACUUAAUAGAUAAAAAAAAUUUCCAUACCUCAAAGGAUUGAAUUUCCUCUCAAUUCAGACAGAGACAGCUUCAAUUCUAAAACGAAGCGAAUACUAGAUGAACAUGUGCUUCUCAACUUUGUGAUGUACAAUUUGCCUUCCACGUUGCGCAAGAUCGUUUCGCUUUCAAGUCCAAAACAGUCGUUUUCGCAAAAUUAUGUCAUGGGGUGUUGUCAUUCUGUGAUUGCUACGAAGAGACCUGGUAAAGAGUCACGUGUUUCGAAACCACUUUACUUUGUCAACCUGAAUGACAAGACAAAAACUCUGACCGAAAUGCAAAUUACAAUUUCCAAGUCAAAUAUUGAAUGCCAAAAAAUCAUGACGCAGAUGUUGUUUGACUGCGCGUGCUCAUAUAACAAGAAGAAACCAAAAAAUAAAUUUUAAAGUAUGCAUGAUUUUAUGGAUUACAUAGAUAUGGUCGUUAGGAUAUAAUUAAUGUUGUUUAGACAGCGUUAAUUGAUAAAUAUAAAGUGAAUUUGCAAGGUAA